rnacentral:rRNA from 1 species
GAUGAACGCUGGCGGCGUGCCUAAUACACGCAAGUCGAGCGAAUGGAUUAAGAGCUUGCUCUUAUGAAGUUAGCGGCGGACGGGUGAGUAACACGUGGGUAACCUGCCCAUAAGACUGGGAUAACUCCGGGAAACCGGGGCUAAUACCGGAUAACAUUUUGAACCGCAUGGUUCGAAAUUGAAAGGCGGCUUCGGCUGUCACUUAUGGAUGGACCCGCGUCGCAUUAGCUAGUUGGUGAGGUAACGGCUCACCAAGGCAACGAUGCGUAGCCGACCUGAGGGGGUGAUCGGCCACACUGGGACUGAGACACGGCCCAGACUCCUACGGGAGGCAGCAGUAGGGAAUCUUCCGCAAUGGACGAAAGUCUGACGGAGCAACGCCGCGUGAGUGAUGAAGUCUUUCGGGUCGUAAAACUCUGUUGUUAGGGAAGAACAAGUGCUAGUUGAAUAAGCUGGCACCUUGACGGUACCUAACCAGAAAGCCACGGCUAACUACGUGCCAGCCGCCGCCGUAA